GGGCCCGCACAAGCGGUGGAGCAUGUGGUUUAAUUCGAUGAUACGCGAGGAACCUUACCAGGGCUUAAAUGUAAGUUGCAUUAGUUAGAGAUAGCUAUUUCUUCGGACCACUUACAAGGUGCUGCAUGGUUGUCGUCAGCUCGUGCCGUGAGGUGUCAGGUUAAGUCCUAUAACGAGCGCAACCCCUGUUGUUAGUUGCCAGCGAGUCAUGUCGGGAACUCUAACAAGACUGCCGGUGCAAACCGUGAGGAAGGUGGGGAUGACGUCAAAUCAUCACGGCCCUUACGUCCUGGGCUACACACGUGCUACAAUGGUCGGUACAGAGGGAAGCCACCCCGCGAGGGGGAGCGGAUCUACAAAACCUAUCUCAGUUCGGAUCGGAGUCUGCAACUCGACUCCGUGAAGCUGGAAUC
rnacentral:rRNA from 1 species